UCAUGGCUCAGGAUGAACGCUGGCGGCGUGCUUAACACAUGCAAGUCGAACGAUGAUCCCAGCUUGCUGGGGGAUUAGUGGCGAACGGGUGAGUAACACGUGAGUAACCUGCCCUUAACUCUGGGAUAAGCCUGGGAAACUGGGUCUAAUACCGGAUAUGACUCCUCAUCGCAUGGUGGGGGGUGGAAAGCUUUAUUGUGGUUUUGGAUGGACUCGCGGCCUAUCAGCUUGUUGGUGAGGUAAUGGCUCACCAAGGCGACGACGGGUAGCCGGCCUGAGAGGGUGACCGGCCACACUGGGACUGAGACACGGCCCAGACUCCUACGGGAGGCAGCAGUGGGGAAUAUUGCACAAUGGGCGAAAGCCUGAUGCAGCGACGCCGCGUGAGGGAUGACGGCCUUCGGGUUGUAAACCUCUUUCAGUAGGGAAGAAGCGAAAGUGACGGUACCUGCAGAAGAAGCGCCGGCUAACUACGUGCCAGCAGCCGCGGUAAUACGUAGGGCGCAAGCGUUAUCCGGAAUUAUUGGGCGUAAAGAGCUCGUAGGCGGUUUGUCGCGUCUGCCGUGAAAGUCCGGGGCUCAACUCCGGAUCUGCGGUGGGUACGGGCAGACUAGAGUGAUGUAGGGGAGACUGGAAUUCCUGGUGUAGCGGUGAAAUGCGCAGAUAUCAGGAGGAACACCGAUGGCGAAGGCAGGUCUCUGGGCAUUAACUGACGCUGAGGAGCGAAAGCAUGGGGAGCGAACAGGAUUAGAUACCCUGGUAGUCCAUGCCGUAAACGUUGGGCACUAGGUGUGGGGGACAUUCCACGUUUCCGCGCCGUAGCUAACGCAUUAAG
rnacentral:rRNA from 1 species